AUGUUGUCUGUAGCUCUGCUGCUGCUGCUGCUGGCAGCUGGAUCCUGUGUGAACAGUGAGCAGUUGAAUCAACCAGCGUCUCUGACUGUCCAGCCAGGACAACCACUGACCAUCACCUGUCAGGUCUCUUAUUCUGUUAGUGACUAUUACACAGGCUGGAUCAGACAGCCUGCAGGAAAAGGACUGGAGUGGAUUGGAGAUGAAGACAAUACACCCAGAGGGAAGUUCAGUAUCUCCGUAGACAGUUCCAGUAACACAGCGACUCUAACAGGACAGAAUAUGCAGCCUGAAGACUCAGCUGUGUAUUAUUGUGCCCGACGCACACAGUAA